rnacentral:rRNA from 1 species
CCCGAAAGAUCGAACGGGGAGAUUCAUCGUCAGCGGCGUUGGCUUCGCCGUGGCUCGCGAUGUCGCGUCACUCCCCCUCGCGGGUGCGUGUUGGACGCGGCACGCGGUCGCGUCGCGUCAUGACCGGCGUCGUAGGCGUGCACUUCUCCCCCAGUAGGACGUCGCGACCCGUUGGGCGUCGGCAAUAAGGCCCGCAAUGGUAGACUGUCCCGGCGUCUCGCGGCGCACGGUGUCAGACCUUCGCGGUUGCCCGGCCGGCUGCCCGGCGGUACUCGCACGGUAUUGAGCCGCAACUCGAACUUGCGCCCAGCCCGUCGCAAGCUCGGUCAGAGUUUCCCGGUGGUGCGGACCUAGCGCCGUCCCCGGGCCUGGCCAGCUGUUGGCAGACGGUGUCCUCGGGCGGGCUCGCCAAUUCUCCCUCGGGAGGAUAUACCGGUCGGCGACGCUAUUGCUUUGGGUACUUUCA